CGCGUAGGCGGCGGAUCGAGUCCGGGGUGAAAUCUUUCGGCCCAACCGGAAAAGUGCCUUGGAUACCGGUCCGCUCGAGGGGGGUAGGGGCAGGCGGAACUUCCGGUGGAGCGGUGAAAUGCGUAGAUAUCGGAAGGAACUCCGGUGGCGAAAGCGGCCUGCUGGACCCCAUCUGACGCUGAGGCGCGAAAGCCAGGGGAGCAAACG
rnacentral:rRNA from 1 species